rnacentral:rRNA from 1 species
AAUAGAUACCCAGGUAGUCCAUGCCGUAAACGUUGGGCACUAGGUGUGGGGGACAUUCCACGUUCUCCGCGCCGUAGCUAACGCAUUAAGUGCCCCGCCUGGGGAGUACGGUCGCAAGGCUAAAACUCAAAGGAAUUGACGGGGGCCCGCACAAGCGGCGGAGCAUGCGGAUUAAUUCGAUGCAACGCGAAGAACCUUACCAAGGCUUGACAUACACUGGACCGUUCUGGAAACAGUUCUUCUCUUUGGAGCUGGUGUACAGGUGGUGCAUGGUUGUCGUCAGCUCGUGUCGUGAGAUGUUGGGUUAAGUCCCGCAACGAGCGCAACCCUCGUUCUAUGUUGCCAGCACGUGAUGGUGGGAACUCAUAGGAGACUGCCGGGGUCAACUCGGAGGAAGGUGGGGAUGACGUCAAAUCAUCAUGCCCUUUAUGUCUUGGGCUUCACGCAUGCUACAAUGGCUGGUACAGAGAGAGGCGAACCCGUGAGGGUAAGCGAAUCCCGUUAAAGCCAGUCUCAGUUCGGAUCGU